rnacentral:lncRNA from 1 species
AGGAGAGGUCAGGCAAGAGAUAAGACUAGACCCUGUGAUUUGGCAGUGGAAAAGGAAGGUGGACUGAGAGUUCUAGAGUGGGGACAGAGAUGGACAGGGAGGGAGAGAGGAGGACAGAGAUGAAGAGACAAGAUGCAACUUACCGGAGAGGAAGAUGAACCUGAUCCACAUGGCUUGAAAGCGUUACAGAGAUGAAGAGACAAGAUGCAGCUUAUCAGAGAGGAAGAUGAACCUGAUCCACAUGGCUUGAAAGCAUCACAGGUAGCUAUGGAUAUCAUAGAAGAGCUAUAGAAU